rnacentral:rRNA from 1 species
CCUACGGGAGACAGCAGUGAGGAAUAUUGGUCAAUGGGCGCGAGCCUGAACCAGCCAAGCCGCGUGAGGGAAGACGGUCCUAUGGAUUGUAAACCUCUUUUGUCGGGGAGAAAAAGACGCCACGCGUGGCGUUCCGAGUCUACCCGAACAAAAAGCAUCGGCAAACUCCGUGCCAGCAGCCGCGGUAAUACGGAGGAUGCGAGCGUUAUCCGGAUUUAUUGGGUUAAACGGGUGCGCAGGCGGAAGAUCAAGUCAGUGGUAAAAUUGAGAGGCUCAACCUCUUCGAGCAGUUGAAACUGGGUUUCUUGAGUGAGCGAGAGGUAUGCGGAAUGCGUGGUGUAGCGGUGAAAUGCAUAGAUAUCACGAAGAACUCCGAUUGCGAAGGCAGCAUACCGGCGCGCAACUGACGCUCAUGCACGAAAGUGUGGGUAUCGAACAGGAUUAGAUACCCGAGUAGUC